rnacentral:rRNA from 1 species
GACCCUAUAGAGUUUUAUAUUUUAUGAAAUUUAUUUUUUUUAGAAUUUACAAGUUGAAUUUUAUUAAAUAUUUAGUUGGGGUGAUUGAAAAAUUAAAUAAACUUUUUUUAUAUUAAGUCAUUUAUUUAUGAAUAUUUGAUCCAUUAUUAGUGAUUACAAGAUUAAAUUACCUUAGGGAUAACAGCGUAAUUUUUUUUGAGAGUUCAAAUCGAAAAAAAAGAUUGCGACCUCGAUGUUGGAUUAAAAUAAAUAUUUGGUGUAAAAGCUAAAUUAAUUGGGUCUGUUCGACCUUUAAAAUUUUACAUGAUCUG